rnacentral:rRNA from 1 species
ACACUCCUGCGGGAGGCAGCAGUGGGGAAUAUUGCACAAUGGGCGCAAGCCUGAUGCAGCCAUGCCGCGUGUAUGAAGAAGGCCUUCGGGUUGUAAAGUACUUUCAGCGGGGAGGAAGGCGAUAAGGUUAAUAACCUUGUUGAUUGACGUUACCCGCAGAAGAAGCACCGGCUAACUCCGUGCCAGCAGCCGCGGUAAUACGGAGGGUGCAAGCGUUAAUCGGAAUUACUGGGCGUAAAGCGCACGCAGGCGGUCUGUCAAGUCGGAUGUGAAAUCCCCGGGCUCAACCUGGGAACUGCAUUCGAAACUGGCAGGCUAGAGUCUUGUAGAGGGGGGUAGAAUUCCAGGUGUAGUGGUGAAAUGCGUAGAGAUCUGGAGGAAUACCGGUGGCGAAGGCGGCCCCCUGGACAAAGACUGACGCUCAGGUGCGAAAGCGUGGGGAGCAAACAGGAUUAGAUACCCGUGUAGUCCCAUG